rnacentral:rRNA from 1 species
AACGAACGCUGGCGGCAUGCCUAACACAUGCAAGUCGAACGAGACCUUCGGGUCUAGUGGCGCACGGGUGCGUAACGCGUGGGAACCUGCCCUUAGGUUCGGAAUAACUCCCCGAAAGGGGUGCUAAUACCGGAUAAUGUCUUCGGACCAAAGAUUUAUCGCCUUUGGAUGGGCCCGCGUUGGAUUAGCUAGUUGGUAGGGUAAAAGCCUACCAAGGCGACGAUCCAUAGCUGGUCUGAGAGGAUGAUCAGCCACACUGGGACUGAGACACGGCCCAGACUCCUACGGGAGGCAGCAGUGGGGAAUAUUGGACAAUGGGCGAAAGGCUGGUCCAGCAAUGCCGCGUGAGUGAUGAAGGCCUUAGGGUUGUAAAGCUCUUUUACCCGGGAUGAUAAUGACAGUACCGGGAGAAUAAGCUCCGGCUAACUCCGUG